rnacentral:rRNA from 1 species
GACGAACGCUGGCGGCGUGCUUAACACAUGCAAGUCGAACGGAAAGGCCCUGCUUGCCGGGUGCUCGAGUGGCGAACGGGUGAGUAACACGUGGGUGAUCUGCCCCUUAUUUUGGGAUAAGCCUGGGAAACUGGGUCUAAUACUGGAUAGGACCAUGCUGUAGGUGGUGUGGUGGAAAGAUUAGUUUCGGUAAGGGAUGAGCUCGCGGCCUAUCAGCUUGUUGGUGGGGUAAUGGCCUACCAAGGCGUCGACGGGUAGCCGGCCUGAGAGGGUGGACGGCCACAUUGGGACUGAGAUACGGCCCAGACUCCUACGGGAGGCAGCAGUGGGGAAUAUUGCACAAUGGGCGCAAGCCUGAUGCAGCGACGCCGCGUGGGGGAUGACGGCCUUCGGGUUGUAAACUCCUUUCAGUCAUGACGAAGCCCUUGUGGUGACGGUAGUGGUAGAAGAAGCACCGGCUAACUACGUG